rnacentral:lncRNA from 1 species
AUAUAUAAAACAAGAAUGUGUCCAUAGUACACGGAUGCCCCACUCGCACUAUCAUUUUACGUGUUCACUGGACCGUGAAAUUGGGGUCAAUACUUUAAUUUGACAUUAAAAUUAGAAAGAUCAUAUCAUAGGGAACAUGUGUACUAAGUUUCAAAUUGAUUGGACUUCAACUUCAUUAAAAACUACCUCGACCAAAAACUUUAACCUGAAGUGGGACGAACGAACGGACGAACGAACGAACGGACGAACGGAGGCACAGACCAGAAAACAUAAUGCCCCUCUACUAUCGUAGGUGGGGCAUAAAAAAAGU